GACCUACUCCCUCCGUCUGAAAAAGCUUGUCCCAAACUUGUCCCUCAAAUGGAUGUACGUAUCUACCGCUAACUUGAUGCUAGAUACAUCCAUUUGAAGGACAAGUUUUUUCGGACGGAGGGAGUAAUUG
rfam:Triticum aestivum genome assembly, contig: Triticum_aestivum_CS42_TGACv1_scaffold_622078_7DS